CCAGGACUGUGUCCAGAUGGCUUUGGGCUAUCUCCAAGGAUGGCAGCUCCAACAACCUGUGCCAGUGCCUGAUGACCCCCUCAGUGAAAGGUGUGCCUGGUGACCCCCUCAGUGAAAGGCUGUUCCCUCUCCCAGCAGGGUUUGAGGUGUUUCAGUUCAUGACUCUCAUCCUGGUGUUGUGCAGAGCUCGGUGACACCGUGACUCAGAUUGCCUCAGGAAUGUGAGCAUUGGCAGUGCUGUGCCAUCUCUGCUCCUGUUCCCCCUCUUCAGGCAUUGCUAGCAGCCCCUUUGCCUUUUGGGGGAUAAAGCCUUGGUUAGGGGGUGCCUGUGCAUUGACUCAGAUCCCUUUCCUGCUCCUUGGUCCUUUUUUGGGAUUGGGAGCAGAGAGCCCUUUCUGCUGCCACACUCCUGCCUGUGCUGAGCUCACAGGGGGAGCAGCACCCCCAAACCUGGCAGUGUCCAGGUCUGCAGGGUCAGGGAGCAGCCCAGAGUGUGGAGCCCUGGGCUGUGCAGGGGGAGUGUGCUGUGCACACACAGGGGAUGGCUCUGGGUCUCAGCUCAUCUCCCACACGACAGGAGGCCACAGGGCUUCCCAGCUGGAUUGCGAGCUUUGGGUGCAGGAUAAACACAUUCAGAGCAGUCCAAGCCCCAUGUGGGCAGCUGAUCUGCCUUCCUGGAUGAGAACAGUGCCCACCACCUUUGUCUCUAGCUCGCCAUUCUGCAUUAGGGGUUGCUGCAAGAGUCUGUCACCUUUGGCUCCAGCCCUUAUCCACGCCUGAGCCUCAAAGCAGGAAAGCUCAAACUCCCCAUUUACCAUCUCAGCAAGCUAAAUAAGAGGAGUGUUCCUGCACUGAUGAGUGCUGCAGGUGACAGAACACUCCCCUGCAUCCCAGGGCAGGUACUGGGGAGCAGUGGAGGUGUCUGGGGGAAGCUGCAGAACCCAGGCCCAGCUCGGGGCAGGGACAGGCUGCAGCUCCUCUGCCAUCCACUGUUAUUGAACAUCUGGCACUGGGGAAGUUCGUGAGAACUUCACAGUUCUUGUAAUCAAUCCCCCUCACAGUGUUUUCUGGUUUUGAGUAAAGUAUUAUAAAAGAG